rnacentral:rRNA from 1 species
CAACUUUCAACAACGGAUCUCUUGGCUCUCGCAUCGAUGAAGAACGCAGCGAAAUGCGAGAAGUAAUGUGAAUUGCAAAAUUCAGUGAAUCAUCGAAUCUUUGAACGCACCUUGCGCCUCUUGGUAUUCCGAGGGGCACGCCUGUUUGAGUAUCGUGA